rnacentral:rRNA from 1 species
GAUGAACGCUGGCGGCGUGCCUAAUACAUGCAAGUCGAGCGAACAGACGAGGAGCUUGCUCCUCUGACGUUAGCGGCGGACGGGUGAGUAACACGUGGAUAACCUACCUAUAAGACUGGGAUAACUUCGGGAAACCGGAGCUAAUACCGGAUAAUAUAUUGAACCGCAUGGUUCAAUAGUGAAAGACGGUUUUGCUGUCACUUAUAGAUGGAUCCGCGCCGCAUUAGCUAGUUGGUAAGGUAACGGCUUACCAAGGCAACGAUGCGUAGCCGACCUGAGAGAGUGAUCGGCCGCACUGGAACUGGGACACGGUCCAGACUCCUACGGGAGGCAGCAGUAGGGAAUCUUCCGCAAUGGGCGAAAGCCUGACGGAGCAACGCCGCGUGAGUGAUGAAGGUCUUCGGAUCGUAAAACUCUGUUAUUAGGGAAGAACAAAUGUGUAAGUAACUAUGCACGUCUUGACGGUACCUAAUCAGAAAGCCACGGCUAACUACGUG